CACGUAGGGCGCGAGCGUUGUCCGGAAUUAUUGGGCGUAAAGAGCUCGUAGGCGGCCUGUUGCGUCCGCUGUGAAAGCCCGGGGCUUAACCCCGGGUCUGCAGUGGAUACGGGCAGGCUAGAGGUAGGUAGGGGAGAAUGGAAUUCCCGGUGUAGCGGUGAAAUGCGUAGAUAUCAGGAGGAACACCUGCGGUGUAGACGGCUAUCUGGACGACCACUGACGCUGAGACACGAAAGCGUGGGUAGCAAACAGG
rnacentral:rRNA from 1 species